rnacentral:misc_RNA from 1 species
CUGGACUACCGGGGUUUCUAAUCCGGUUUGCUCCCCACGCUUUCGCGCCUCAGCGUCAGGAAUAGCCCAGAAAGCCGCCUUCGCCUCUGGUGUUCCUCCCGGUAUCUACGCAUUUCACCACUACUCCGGGAAUUCCGCUUUCCUCUGCUACCCUCAAGCCUGUCAGUUUCCCAUGACCCCUCCCAGUUGAGCCGGGAGAUUUCACAUGAGACUUAACAAACCGCCUACGCGCUCUUUACGCCCAGUAAAUCCGGACAACGUUUGAACCCUACGUAUUACCGCGGCUGCUGGCACGUAGUUAGCCGGUCCUUAUUCGUCAGGUACAGUCCUUACUCUUCCCUGAUAAAAGAGGUUUACAACCCGAAGGCCUUCUUCCCUCACGCGGUGUCGCUGCAUCAGA